AGAAAGGAAAAAAAAAGAGAAUUAAAAAAGGGAGAAUGAAUAAGGAUAUAUGAAAAGUAAGAGUCCGAGGUAGAGAGCUAUGGAGAGAAAGAGAGACAAAGAGUAUGAAAUAGGGAAAAGGAAAAAAGUGAGGAGGAUAGAAAAAAUGAGAUGAAAAGAAAGAAUGAAAAAAAAUGGAAGGUGUACAAAAUGAGUGAGAGAGUGAGAAAAUGAGAGAGGACAAAAAAAAGAGUUAAGAGAUAUGAAAAUUUAACAAGAGAGAAAGAAUGAGAUACCAAUAAAUAAAUAGAGAUUGAUGAAACAAUAAACAUGUAACAAGUGAAAAGGACUAGGAGAAUGGGAAAAUAAAAUAUAAUAGAUGAGAAGGAGGAAGACGAUGAGAAAGAGGAAAGGGAGGAGAAAAAAGAGAGAAUGAAAGAUAGAAUGAGCGAUCUCUCUCUCUCUCUCUCAUAUUUU
rnacentral:lncRNA from 1 species